UUAAGUUCAGCGGGUAUCCCUACUUGAUCCGAGGUCAAAAGUGUUAAAUGUGCUUACUGGACGCGAAUAAUACCAGUCAGAAUCGCAAAUUGUGCUGCGCUUCAAACCAAUACUUUGGCUGCCAAUGAAUUUAAGGCGAGUCCAACCGCAAGGAAAGGACAAACACCCAACACCAAGCAAAGCUUGGAGACAUACAAGCU
rnacentral:misc_RNA from 1 species